rnacentral:lncRNA from 1 species
UACUACAUUGCAUUGACUUUUUCCUCCCCUUUAUUUCAGGAAAAUAUGCUGCUCCUCAUUAUUUUAAAGUAUAUUAAAAUAAUGAGGCCUGUGGCUCUAUUUUUGAAAGUGAAUUCACGCUUUCGUUUUCUAGAAUACCCAAAUAAGAAACAGACAGGCAGCCGGACGAGGUGAUACAAGUUUAAGCGUUAUAAAGUUUAGUAGAGCAUCGGAUGGUCUCUAGUUAAGCGUUCGCCGGUGGAAGGUAACGUUACGUUCAGUUUAUUUCACACAUACAUCAACAUCCUCAAAGUACAAAUAGAUAUUUUACGGCGAGCUUAACGCGUUUUUGCUUCUAUUCAAGCCAGGAAUAAUAUCCUUGUUGGUGCAUUAAUCCAGCAUAACAAGAAUACAUAGAGCAUGUCCAUUUCCCUUGUCUUUUGAUUUAUUAUUAUUUUAUUUAUUCUAUUUGGGACUUAUUAAAAGUUUGAAUCAUUUAGAACGCCGGGCUUUCGUUAAUGGGUUUAUUUUCCCAUAAUGCAUUGGGAGUAUUUACCAAAAUAAAAUAAAUAUAUGAACAUGAAAUACUGAGUGGGACCUAAAUUAUUAUUUAGAAAGGAGAAAAAUCAAUAACAAAUACAGACGAACAUUUAGAAUGCACAUCAAUAUUACACUAUAUCAUUAUAAAUGGCUGUUAAUCUGAAAUCCACUUUUUCUAUAAAUUAGUUAAGUAACAUAGUUAACCACUGUAUACUGUAUACCUUUUUUUUUUUUUUUACAGUGUUGUAUGUGAUGUCUGCAACCACAACUUUUAGUAUGUCAGCACUACAAGAGCAGCGAAGUGCUCUGUCGUACGUAUGCAGUGUGCAUGUUCAUACUCUUGUAUGUUCUCGCAGGUUAUUAACGGGACUUCUUGCUCUGCAGUGAUGACGUCCCUGGGGAGCAGCAGUUCCUCCGCAACGGAGUAUGUUGUACGAGUUCCAAAUUAUUUUAUUUAUUCUAUUUGGGACUUAUUAAAAGUUUGAAUCAUUUAGAACGCCGGGCUUUCGUUAAUGGGUUUAUUUUCCCAUAAUGCAUUGGGAGUAUUUACCAAAAUAAAAUAAAUAUAUGAACAUGAAAUACUGAGUGGGACCUAAAUUAUUAUUUAGAAAGGAGAAAAAUCAAUAACAAAUACAGACGAACAUUUAGAAUGCACAUCAAUAUUACACUAUAUCAUUAUAAAUGGCUGUUAAUCUGAAAUCCACUUUUUCUAUAAAUUAGUUAAGUAACAUAGUU